rnacentral:rRNA from 1 species
UACGGAAGGCAGCAGUGGGGAAUAUUGCACAAUGGGCGCAAGCCUGAUGCAGCCAUGCCGCGUGUAUGAAAAAGGCCUUCGGGUUGUAAAGUACUUUCAGUCGUGAGGAAGGUGUUAAGGUUAAUAACCUUAGCAAUUGACGUUAGCGACAGAAGAAGCACCGGCUAACUCCGUGCCAGCAGCCGCGGUAAUACGGAGGGUGCGAGCGUUAAUCGGAAUUACUGGGCUAAAGGGCACGCAGGCGGUUAAUAAGUUGGAUGUGAAAUCCCCGGGCUUAACCUGGGAAUGGCAUUCAAGACUGGUUAGCUAGAGUCUUGUAGAGGGGGUAGAAUUCCAUGUGUAGCGGUGAAAUGCGUAGAGAUGUGGAGGAAUACCGGUGGCGAAGGCGGCCCCUGGACAAAGACUGACGCUCAUGUGCGAAAGCGUGGGGAGCAAACAGGGAUUAGAUACC